rnacentral:rRNA from 1 species
CGGCGGACGGGUGAGUAACGCGUGGGUAACCUGCCUCGUACAGGGGGAUAACAGUUGGAAACGGCUGCUAAUACCGCAUAAGCGCACAGUACCGCAUGGUACCGUGUGAAAAACUCCGGUGGUAUGAGAUGGACCCGCGUCUGAUUAGCUAGUUGGUGGGGUAACGGCCUACCAGGGCGACGAUCAGUAGCCGACCUGAGAGGGUGACCGGCCACAUUGGGACUGAGACACGGCCCAA